UACGUAGGGUGCGCGCGUUAAUCGGAAUUACUGGGCGUAAAGCGUGCGUAGGCGGUUCGUUAAGUUCGUCGUGAAAGCCCCGGGCUCAACCUGGGAAUGGCGAUGGAAACUGGCGGACUUGAGUAUGGCAGAGGGGGGUGGAAUUCCGCGUGUAGCAGUGAAAUGCGUAGAGAUGCGGAGGAACACCGAUGGCGAAGGCAGCCCCCUGGGCCAAUACUGACGCUCAGGCACGAAAGCGUGGGGAGCAAACAGG
rnacentral:rRNA from 1 species